rnacentral:rRNA from 1 species
GAUGAACGCUGGCGGCGUGCCUAAUACAUGCAAGUCGAGCGAACGGACGAGAAGCUUGCUUCUCUGAUGUUAGCGGCGGACGGGUGAGUAACACGUGGAUAACCUACCUAUAAGACUGGGAUAACUUCGGGAAACCGGAGCUAAUACCGGAUAAUAUUUUGAACCGCAUGGUUCAAAAGUGAAAGACGGUUUUGCUGUCACUUAUAGAUGGAUCCGCGCUGCAUUAGCUAGUUGGUAAGGUAACGGCUUACCAAGGCAACGAUGCAUAGCCGACCUGAGAGGGUGAUCGGCCACACUGGAACUGAGACACGGUCCAGACUCCUACGGGAGGCAGCAGUAGGGAAUCUUCCGCAAUGGGCGAAAGCCUGACGGAGCAACGCCGCGUGAGUGAUGAAGGUCUUCGGAUCGUAAAACUCUGUUAUUAGGGAAGAACAUAUGUGUAAGUAACUGUGCACAUCUUGACGGUACCUGAUCAGAAAGCCACGGCUAACUACGUG